AGCGGCGGACGGGUGAGUAACGCGUGGGUAACCUGCCUCAUACACAUGGAUAACAUACCGAAAGGUAUGCUAAUACAAGAUGAUAUAAGAAAUUCGCAUGGAUUUCUUAUCAAAGCUACGGCGGUAUGAGAUGGACCCGCGUCUGAUUAGCUAGUUGGUAAGGUAACGGCUUACCAAGGCGACGAUCAGUAGCCGACCUGAGAGGGUGAUCGGCCACAUUGGAACUGAGACACGGUCCAAACUCCUACGGGAGGCAGCAGUGGGGAAUAUUGCACAAUGGGCGAAAGCCUGAUGCAGCAACGCCGCGUGAGCGAUGAAGGCCUUCGGGUCGUAAAGCUCUGUCCUCAAGGAAGAUAAUGACGGUACUUGAGGAGGAAGCCCCGGCUAACUACGUGCCAGCAGCCGCGGUAAUACGUAGGGGGCUAGCGUUAUCCGGAUUUACUGGGCGUAAAGGGUGCGUAGGUGGUUUCUUAAGUCAGGAGUGAAAGGCUACGGCUCAACCGUAGUAAGCUCUUGAAACUGGGAAACUUGAGUGCAGGAGAGGAAAGUGGAAUUCCUAGUGUAGCGGUGAAAUGCGUAGAUAUUAGGAGGAACACCAGUAGCGAAGGCGGCUUUCUGGACUGUAACUGACACUGAGGCACGAAAGCGUGGGGAGCAACAGGAUUAGAUACCCUGGUAGUCCACGCCGUAACGAUGAGUACUAGUGU
rnacentral:rRNA from 1 species